rnacentral:rRNA from 1 species
ACGGCUCAGUAACACGUGGCUAACCUGCCCUUGGGACGAGAACACCCCCGGGAAACUGGGGCUAAUUCUCGAUAGGCGAAGAACUCUGGAAUGAGUCUUCACCCAAAAGACGCUUAGAUCAUGCUUCUAGACGUCGCCCAAGGAUGGGGCCGCGGCCGAUCAGGUUGUUGGUGAGGUAAUGGCUCACCAAGCCUUUAACCGGUGCGGGCCGUGGGAGCGGGAGCCCGGAGAUGGGCACUGAGACAAGGGCCCAGGCCCUACGGGGCGCAGCAGUCGCGAAAACUUUGCAAUAAGCGAAAGCUUGACAGGGCUAUCCCGAGUGCCAUCCGCUGAGGAAGGCUUUUACCCAGUCUAGUAAGCUGGGGGAAUAAGGAGAGGGCAAGUCUGGUGUCAGCCGCCGCGGUAAUACCAGCUCUCCGAGUGGUGUGGAUGUUUAUUGGGCCUAAAGCAUCCGUAGCUGGCUGAGUUAGUCCCCUGUUAAAUCCACCGAAUCAAUCGUUGGAUUGCGGGGGAUACUGCUCGGCUAGGGGACGGGAGAGGCAGACGGUAUUUCCGGGGUAGGGGUGAAAUCCUAUAAUCCCGGGAAGACCACCAGUGGCGAAGGCUGUCUGCUAGAACGCGCCCGACGGUGAGGGAUGAAAGCUGGGGUAGCGAACCGGAUUAGAUACCCGGGUAGUCCCAGCUGUAAACGAUGCAGGCUAGGUGUUUGGGCGGCCACGUGCCGCUCUAGUGCCGCAGGGAAGCUGUUAAGCCUGCCGCCUGGGGAGUACGAUCGCAAGAUUGAAACUUAAAGGAAUUGGCGGGGGAGCAC